rnacentral:rRNA from 2 species
CUUAGGACCGUUAUAGUUACGGCCGCCGUUUACUGGGGCUUCAGUUCAGAGCUUCGCUUACGCUAACCCCUCUCCUUAACCUUCCAGCACCGGGCAGGUGUCAGCCCCUAUACUUCGCCUUACGGCUUCGCAGAGACCUGUGUUUUUGCUAAACAGUCGCUUGGGCCUAUUCACUGCGGCUUUCCGUUAAGAAAGCACCCCUUCUCCCGAAGUUACGGGGUCAUUUUGCCGAGUUCCUUAACCAGAGUUCUCUCGCACACCUUAGGAUUCUCUCCUCGCCUACCUGUGUCGGUU